ACGAACGCUGGCGGCGUGCUUAACACAUGCAGGUCGAACGGAAAGGCCCUGCUUUUGUGGGGUGCUCGAGUGGCGAACGGGUGAGUAACACGUGAGUAACCUGCACUUGACUUUGGGAUAACUUCAGGAAACUGGGGCUAAUACAGGACAGGAGCUCAUGCUGCAUGGUGGGGGUUGGAAAGUUUCGGCGGUUGGGGAUGGACUCGCGGCUUAUCAGCUUGUUGGUGGGGUAGUGGCUUACCAAGGCUUUGACGGGUAGCCGGCCUGAGAGGGUGACCGGCCACAUUGGGACUGAGAUACGGCCCAGACUCCUACGGGAGGCAGCAGUGGGGAAUAUUGCACAAUGGGCGGAAGCCUGAUGCAGCAACACCGCGUGCGGGAUGACGGCCUUCGGGUUGUAAACCGCUUUCGCCUGUGACGAAGCGUGAGUGACGGUAAUUGGUAAAGAAGCACCGGCUAACUACGUG
rnacentral:rRNA from 1 species